rnacentral:rRNA from 1 species
UACGAAGGGGGCUAGCGUUGUUCGGAAUUACUGGGCGUAAAGCGCGCGUAGGCGGUGAUCUUUGUCAGAGGUGAAAGCCUGGGGCUCAACCCCAGAAUUGCCUUUGAAACGGGAUCGCUAGAGUCCGAGAGAGGAUGGCGGAAUUCCUAGUGUAGAGGUGAAAUUCGUAGAUAUUCGCAAGAACACCAGUGGCGAAGGCGGCUCACUGGCCCGAUACUGACGCUGAGGUGCGAAAGCGUGGGGAGCGAACAGG